GAUGAACGCUAGCGGCAGGCCUAACACAUGCAAGUCGAGGGGUAGAAGGAGCUUGCUCCUUUGAGACCGGCGCACGGGUGCGUAACGCGUAUGCAAUCUACCUUGUACAGGGGAAUAGCCCAGAGAAAUUUGGAUUAAUGCCCCAUAGUAUAUAACCUUCGCAUGUUGGUUAUAUUAAAGUUCCAACGGUACAAGAUGAGCAUGCGUCCCAUUAGUUAGUUGGUAAGGUAACGGCUUACCAAGACGAUGAUGGGUAGGGGUCCUGAGAGGGAGAUCCCCCACACUGGUACUGAGACACGGACCAGACUGCUACGGGAGGGAGCAGUGAGGAAUAUUGGUCAAUGGUCGCUAGACUGAACCAGCCAUGCCGCGUGCAGGAAGACGGUCCUAGGGAUUGUAAACUGCUUUUAUACAGGAAAAAACCCUCCCACGUGUGGGAGCUUGACGGUACUGUAGGAAUAAGGAUCGGCUAACUCCGUG
rnacentral:rRNA from 1 species